AUGUGGCAUUAUAAUGGGGAAGACGACGCCUCACGCUAUGGUCGGAAGGGCCCGAAGACCUCCGUUGCCUUGGCCAAAAUACUGGCCGAGCUGUAUAAAGGGGAGAAAGAGGAGUUCACCCGUCUCCAAUAUCGAGACGGAUUUUCCAUGUACAAUCCUCCCAGCUGGGAAUGGCGAAAGGCUGUCGUAGGGAUCCAUGACCAUGCUCCUCAGCUGGAGAAUCGCAACCGGGAUAUUGACCCCGGAUAUGAAGAGGAUCCGGACAUAUUUGUGGAGCUCGAGGACGAAAUAUUCUAUUAG
rnacentral:rRNA from 1 species